AUGCCUGGAGGACCGCUGGAUCUUGGGAAGUUCCUACCAGUGCGGAUCCUGGUGCUCGUCAGCUUCGGCCUCCAAGUCGUCCUCUUCGUCUGCGCUGGAGUCCGUCGACAUGAAGCCACCGGCGUGUGGAGGCUGCGGAGGCUACUCCUCUGGCAAGCAUACAUUAUGGCGGACUACAUGGCCAUAUAUGCCCUUGGCCACCUCUCCCUCAGGAGCAAGGCACACGAUCACCAGCUCGACGCGUUUUGGGCGCCGUUUCUCCUGCUGCACCUCAGCGGCCCGGACAACAUCACCGCCUACGCACUCCAGGACAACCAGCUCUGGCUUCGCCACCUCCAAACCCUUGUUCUGCAGGUCGGCGGAGCAGCCUAUGUCAUCUACAAGAACAGAGCCGGCAGUGUCGCCCCAAAACUGAUCUUCGCGGUUGGCCUUGUCAAGUACGUGGAGAGGACAUGGGCACUGAAGUGCGGCAACUUGGACAGCAUCCGCAUCUCCGUCAAGACGCAAUCACCUGCCAUGCAUAAACAUUCUCACCGCCAGGAUGAAGUGCCUUCUUCGAAAAAGAAUGAAGAUCAGUUUGACGAGGAAUCCCAUUUGCGACGAGCUCACUCUCUGUUCCACAUCUGCAAGCGUGCCAUGGUUGAUUGUUCGGUGUUCGUAAAGGAUCCAGACGGCCGGCAGGACACCCGGAAAAUGAUGGCGGGCAAAGUGGAGCUAUGGAGAUUAAUGGAGACCGAGCUCUCCCUCAUGUAUGACAUCUUGUACACCAAGGCAGCUGUCAUCCACACCUGGCACGGGUACUGCAUCCGUCUCAUCUCGCCAAUAGCAACCUUUGUGUCUCUGGUGCUUUUCCGGCUAAGCGGCAACGACAAGGACGACGGCCGCCGAAGAGCUGAUGUCAUUAUCACCUACGUCUUGUUUGUCGGUGCCUUGUUCAUGGAGACCACAUCCCUGCUGAACGCGCUGGUGUCCUCUUGGGCAUUCGCGUUCCUGAGCACAACAAGAUGGCGCCGGUUUCGCUACGAAGCCCUGUGCAGCGAAAGAUGGGACCGUCUAAGGCGCAAGGUCGUAUCUCUCCACCAUUUUGUCAUGGGAGAAGGCAGCAGGUAUGAGUCGAGGAGGUGGUCGGGCAACAUGGGGCAGUACAACAUGAUGCACUUCUGCACCCGCCCGGACACGCCGAUGACCAGCCCUCUGCUCGGCAGGCUGGCCAAGGCGGUGCGUCUCAUGGAGACGUGGAACAAGAAGCACUACUCAGGGACCGUCAACAUUUCAGACUAUCCUCUGAUCAGGGAGCGUAUCGCCGGACGUAUGGGGCAACUGUACAAGGACGUGGGGCUGAAUUCGCUGGGAAUGCUGAGGAAGAAGUGGGGUGAGGAACCACUUGCUCCCAGGGGCUUGUACCGGGGAUUUCUCCAGAAGUCCCUCGGUGUCGAGUUCCAGGAGGGCAUCAUCAUCUGGCACAUCGGCACCGACGUCUUCCUCUCCAAGAGCGAGAGAGCCAAGGCCGAGGCCGCAUCGCCUCGUCCUCUUGGUCUCGUGAAGGCGAUCAAGGUGCUGUCCAACUACAUGAUGUUUCUACUAGUGGAACGCCCUUACAUGCUUCCGGGCAACGCCCAGAGCAGGCUGUACCAACGGACUAACGAAAACCUUGGCGACCUGCGGAAGCGGUCGACUCUUGGGCGACGUCGCAAAAUGAGUAUCUGUGCUAUGGUGAAGAGUAUGUUCCGCCUGCGCGAUUGCCCGGGCUCAACUUCUUCCACGCCCAGCGAUGGCGAGGAGCUUGCAAAACACCUAUAUCGUGAGCAUAUCAAUGGCAGCACCAAGUUCACCCAUGAGUGUCCUCGUCUCACCUAUGCAGCCCGACUUGCCCACGAACUGCUGGAAAUGGAGACACAUAAGCUGGAUGAUUCGUUGCAGCUUGUCCUUGAGGUGUGGAUGGAUCUCCUGGUCUAUGCGGGCAACAAAUGCAGUAAAGAGUCCCACGCCAAGAAGCUCAACGAUGGUGGUGAGUUGACGACCAUCAUCUGGCUCAUGGCAGAACACCUCCAUCAACUUUCUGUUGAGGAGGAUAAAUACCAGGGUUUACUCAGGGAAGAUGGUGUAUAA
rnacentral:rRNA from 1 species